rnacentral:rRNA from 1 species
AUGAACGCUGGCGGCGUGCCUAAUACAUGCAAGUCGAGCGAACAGACGAGGAGCUUGCUCCUCUGACGUUAGCGGCGGACGGGUGAGUAACACGUGGAUAACCUACCUAUAAGACUGGGAUAACUUCGGGAAACCGGAGCUAAUACCGGAUAAUAUAUUGAACCGCAUGGUUCAAUAGUGAAAGACGGUUUUGCUGUCACUUAUAGAUGGAUCCGCGCCGCAUUAGCUAGUUGGUAAGGUAACGGCUUACCAAGGCGACGAUGCGUAGCCGACCUGAGAGGGGGAUCGGCCACACUGGAACUGAGACACGGUCCAGACUCCUACGGGAGGCAGCAGUAGGGAAUCUUCCGCAAAGGGCGAAAGCCUGACGGAGCAACGCCGCGUGAGUGAUGAAGGUCUUCGGAUCGUAAAACUCUGUUAUUAGGGAAGAACAAAUGUGUAAGUAACUAUGCACGUCUUGACGGUACCUAAUCAGAAAGCCACGGCUAACUACGUG